GGGUAGAUGUCCGAGUGGUUAAAGGAGGCGGACUGUAAAUCCGCUGGCUCUGCCUACGUUGGUUCAAAUCCAUCUCUACCCA
rnacentral:tRNA from 1 species